GCAGUCGAGCGGACUUUAGAAAGCUUGCUUUUCUAAAGUUAGCGGCGGACGGGUGAGUAACACGUGGGCAACCUGCCCUAUAGUUGGGGAUAACUCCGGGAAACCGGGGCUAAUACCGAAUAAUACAUUCCUUCUCCUGUUGGAAUGUUGAAAGAUGGUUUACGCUAUCGCUAUAGGAUGGGCCCGCGGCGCAUUAGCUAGUUGGUGAGGUAACGGCUCACCAAGGCGACGAUGCGUAGCCGACCUGAGAGGGUGAUCGGCCACACUGGGACUGAGACACGGCCCAGACUCCUACGGGAGGCAGCAGUAGGGAAUCUUCCACAAUGGGCGAAAGCCUGAUGGAGCAACGCCGCGUGAGUGAAGAAGGUUUUCGGAUCGUAAAACUCUGUUGUAAGGGAAGAACAAGUACAGUAGUAACUGGCUGUACCUUGACGGUACCUUAUUAAAAAGCCACGGCUAACUACGUGCCAGCAGCCGCGGUAAUACGUAGGUGGCAAGCGUUGUCCGGAAUUAUUGGGCGUAAAGCGCGCGCAGGUGGUCCUUUA
rnacentral:rRNA from 1 species